UACGUAGGGUGCGAGCGUUGUCCGGAAUUAUUGGGCGUAAAGAGCUCGUAGGCGGCUUGUUGCGUCGACUGUGAAAACCCGUGGCUCAACCAUGUGGUCUGCAGUCGAUACGGGCAGGCUAGAAUUCGGUAGGGGAGACUGGAAUUCCUGGUGUAGCGGUGAAAUGCGCAGAUAUCAGGAGGAACACCGGUGGCGAAGGCGGGUCUCUGGGCCGAUAUUGACGCUGAGGAGCGAAAGCGUGGGGAGCGAACAGG
rnacentral:rRNA from 1 species